rnacentral:rRNA from 1 species
AGAGUUUGAUCAUGGCUCAGAUUGAACGCUAGCGGGAUGCCUUACACAUGCAAGUCGAACGGCAGCACGGACUUCGGUCUGGUGGCGAGUGGCGAACGGGUGAGUAAUGUAUCGGAACGUGCCUAGUAGCGGGGGAUAACUACGCGAAAGCGUAGCUAAUACCGCAUACGCCCUACGGGGGAAAGCAGGGGAUCGCAAGACCUUGCACUAUUAGAGCGGCCGAUAUCGGAUUAGCUAGUUGGUGGGGUAACGGCUCACCAAGGCGACGAUCCGUAGCUGGUUUGAGAGGACGACCAGCCACACUGGGACUGAGACACGGCCCAGACUCCUACGGGAGGCAGCAGUGGGGAAUUUUGGACAAUGGGGGAAACCCUGAUCCAGCCAUCCCGCGUGUGCGAUGAAGGCCUUCGGGUUGUAAAGCACUUUUGGCAGGAAAGAAACGUCAUGGGCUAAUACCCCGUGAAACUGACGGUACCUGCAGAAUAAGCACCGGCUAACUACGUGCCAGCCGCCGCGGUAAUAC